CAGCCGCCGCGGUAAUACGUAGGGUGCGAGCGUUAAUCGGAAUUACUGGGCGUAAAGCGUGCGCAGGCGGUUUGUUAAGACAGAUGUGAAAUCCCCGGGCUUAACCUGGGAACUGCAUUUGUGACUGGCCGGCUAGAGUAUGGCAGAGGGAGGUGGAAUUCCACGUGUAGCAGUGAAAUGCGUAGAUAUGUGGAGGAACACCGAUGGCGAAGGCAGCCUCCUGGGCCAAUACUGACGCUCAUGCACGAAAGCGUGGGGAGCAAACAGGAUUAGAUACCCGCGUAGUCCCUGUCUCUUAUAC
rnacentral:rRNA from 1 species